CCCAAAAAUUCUAAGUAUUCCGGCUGACACAACAAAUGAAUUGACAACUAAUACUGCACAGUACAUCCCCUCAUAAUCUUGGCCUUUAGAAUUCUUCCCAUAAACCAUCAAAGGAAUAAGGUCACGUCCAGUUUUAUCUACUAUAGGAUCAAAACAUUCUUGGAAGAUAGCAAGAGCUUGCGAAAGUAACACUUUAGUUUCAGCUGAAACGAUUUUGCCACUAAGAAUCCUCCAUCUCACAUCAAUAUCAUUAAUGG
rnacentral:misc_RNA from 1 species